rnacentral:lncRNA from 1 species
GUACUUCUGUUCCACUUCCCAGAAGAGCAGGUACUGUGAUGUACUUCUGUUCAACUUCCCAGAAGAGCGGGGACUGUGAUGUACUUCUGUUCCACUUCCCAGAAGAGCGGGUACUGUGAUGUACUUCUGUUCAACUUCCCAGAAGAGCGGGGACUGUGAUGUACUUCUGUUCCACUUCCCAGAAGAGCGGGUACUGUGAUGUACUUCUGUUCCACUUCCCAGAAGAGCAGGUACUGUGAUGUACUUCUGUUCCACUUCCCAGAAGAGCAGGUACUGUGAUGUACUUCUGUUCAACUUCCCAGAAGAGCGGGGACUGUGAUGUACCUCUGUUCCACUUCCCAGAAGAGCUGGUACUGUGAUGUACCUCUGUUCCACUUCCCAGAAGAGCUCAGGUACUGUGAUGACCUUCUGUUCCACUUCCCAGAAGAGCUCAGGUACUGUGAUGUACUUCUGUUCCAUUCAACUAGACUGACUCACUGUUUCUUUCCUUUAUACUGGCAAUAACAGUAUAUCACCAGACAUUGUAUGCCUGAUUAGAGGGGGAUUCAUGGGAACAGCAGGUAUGGUUCAGUAAACAAGUCAUAACACAGCAACAUAUACUGAAGAAGCUGGCAGGUCAAUACGUCUAAACUAUUGGAAAUCAUUCCAAUUCACAAGCUCCUCUUCUGUCAAACCUUCUGGUCACAACACAUAAAGCCUUUCUGACAGGAUUGAAACCACAAUGUUGCAAUUACUGUGCUGAGAUAUAAAUGUCAGAUAUGCUUUAUCAAACAGUUUCUUGGCUGCGCUGCCUCUCUGCCCCCCGAAGACAAAUACAAUGAAAACAGAAAACAGUGUGCAAUAUUGAGACAGGAGAAUGUCAGAGUUGCUUUCACUAUCUAUCACAUGCAAUCAGUAUCACAUUUCACUUCUUACGUUUCAGUUGAGAACUGAGCAAAGUGAGCCAAACAUUCACAUAGGGAAAG